AACGAACGCUGGCGGCAUGCCUAACACAUGCAAGUCGAACGAGACCUUCGGGUCUAGUGGCGCACGGGUGCGUAACGCGUGGGGACCUGCCUUUAGGUUCGGAAUAACUCAGAGAAAUUUGAGCUAAUACCGGAUGAUGUCUUCGGACCAAAGAUUUAUCGCCUUUAGAUGGGCCCGCGUUGGAUUAGCUAGUUGGUGGGGUAAAGGCCUACCAAGGCGACGAUCCAUAGCUGGUCUGAGAGGAUGAUCAGCCACACUGGGACUGAGACACGGCCCAGACUCCUACGGGAGGCAGCAGUGGGGAAUAUUGGACAAUGGGCGAAAGCCUGAUCCAGCAAUGCCGCGUGAGUGAUGAAGGCCUUAGGGUUGUAAAGCUCUUUUACCCGAGAUGAUAAUGACAGUAUCGGGAGAAUAAGCUCCGGCUAACUCCGUG
rnacentral:rRNA from 1 species